UGAUACUAAGCCAUGCGAGUCAUUGUAGCAAUACAAGGCAUACGGCUCAGUAACGCGUAGUCAACCUAACCUAUGGACGGGAAUAACCUCGGGAAACUGAGAAUAAUGCCCGAUAGAACAUUAUGCCUGGAAUGGUUUAUGUUCCAAAUGAUUUAUCGCCGUAGGAUGGGACUGCGGCCUAUCAGUUUGUUGGUGAGGUAAUGGCCCACCAAGACUAUUACAGGUACGGGCUCUGAGAGGAGUAGCCCGGAGAUGGGUACUGAGACACGGACCCAGGCCCUAUGGGGCGCAGCAGGCGAGAAAACUUUGCAAUGUGCGAAAGCACGACAAGGUUAAUCCGAGUGGUUUCUGCUAAAGGAACCUUUUGUCAGUCCUAGAAACACUGAUGAAUAAGGGGUGGGCAAGUUCUGGUGUCAGCCGCCGCGGUAAAACCAGCACCUCAAGUGGUCAGGAUGAUUAUUGGGCCUAAAGCAUCCGUAGCCGGCUCUGUAAGUUUUCGGUUAAAUCUGUACGCUCAACGUACAGGCUGCCGGGAAUACUGCAAAGCUAGGGAGUGGGAGAGGUAGACGGUACUCGGUAGGAAGGGGUAAAAUCCUUUGAUCUAUUGAUGACCACCUGUGGCGAAGGCGGUCUACCAGAACACGUCCGACGGUGAGGGAUGAAAGCUGGGGGAGCAAACCGGAUUAGAUACCCGGGUAGUCCCAGCUGUAAACCAUGCAAACUCAGUGAUGCAUUGGCUUGUGGCCAAUGCAGUGCUGCAGGGAAGCCGUUAAGUUUGCCGCUUGGGAAGUACGUACGCAAGUAUGAAACUUAAAGGAAUUGGCGGGGGAGCACCACAAGGGGUGAAGCCUGCGGUUCAAUUGG
rnacentral:rRNA from 1 species